GGAUCAUGUGACGAAAGACGGCUCCUGGGUCACGUGACCAAUACAGGCGGCAGGUAUGUAAAACUACAUAAGACCAUUCUAACCAAAAAUAUAAUUUACCGGAAAAAUACCUCGGAAAAUUCUAAAUAAAUGAAGCCCGCGGACAAUGCAUAUUUGAAUUGUACCGUAGUUAAGUUGGAGGUACCCUGGCGGUGGUCCAGUUUAGAGAAAAUGACGCGUGGAACUGGGCGGUGAGCUCCUCUGUCAUGGACAAAGGCAAGGCAAGGCAACUUUAUUCAUAUAGCCCUUCUUAUACACGAGGCAGAAUCAAAGUGCUUCACAUAAAAACAUUGUCAUACAAUAACAUGAAAUUAAAUAAAAUGGAUCAAUAAAAGAAAACAAAGGCAAACUAAAUAAAAGCAAACAUAUAAGUCUUCAGUCCUGUUUUUAAAAGUGGUCAGAGUUGGGGCAAGUAAAUCCUCAGGGAGGUUUUCAUUUUAGUACCAUCUCGGUUUUGUCCUCAUUUAGUGGAAGGAAAUUUUGAGAAAGUCUUUGACUUUCUCAAUGCACUGGCACAGCAGAUAUAGGCCUAUGGGCCGAUAGUCAUUUGGUGAUAGCGCUACAUAGAUUUGCGAACAAAGGGUAGCCUAUUUGUGUCUUUUGUGAUUAUGGCCUAGUUACUGCUCUCAGGUCAAGGUCCACGCCGAGAGAUGUGAUAACCGUUGCCAUCGCUGUGGUUGGACUUUUGACCACGUCAAUCGUUUCAGAUUAAACUUUUUAACAUAGGACCGAUCAGAAAUGUUACGCAUGCUACGAAAAUACAAAAGACCAUUAAAAUGACAUAAACAAUCGCAAUCUCAUUAUAUUCAGACAACGACCAUGAACCAGAUUUAGAUUCAACCUGAACUGCUAGAUUAAGAGCUGCUGUUAAUGUUAGAUCAUUAUUUUCCAGUAACAGCCUUUGCCUAAUUAAUUCAUUUUUUGUGUGCAGUAUCAGUUGGUCCCUUAUCAUUUCGUCCUGUAACGCCCCGUACUUGCACAUGGUAGCCAGCAUCCCUAAUUCAGCCGCGAACCUCUCCACUGACUCCCAUGGACGUUGGCGCCUGCGUCGGAAUAUGACGCGACGGAGCAGAACACCUUUAGGAGCGGGGUAAUGUGCUUUCAUGAGCUCCACGGCCUUUGCGAAAGUAGGCGCGGGGCCAAGAGUUCCCAACACGCGCUGUCCCUCCGCUCCCAGACAGUGCAGCAGCAGUGCACGGUACCUCCACUCCGGAACAGUGUCCAGGCCGGCAGCGGUGAUAAACGUUUGGAACAAGGUAAUCCAGAGGGGCCACGGCACCGGUGGUUCUCCCGGCAGGGCUAGGAAGGGGAGGGGGUGGUAGGCAGCAUCCAGCCAUCCUCGUCGCCAAUGUUGUUAUGUUUCAAUAAUGGAGACUGAGAAAAGAUCCAACGUCGAAGCUGUUAUGUUCGUUCCUUAGCCUAUUAUUCUACUUCCUGUAGUUUGGUCUGGCUGGUAGGUACACAGUAAAAUUACAAGAGUAACAUUUCCGUAGUUAAAAUUAUUUUACUCAAACUGUAUUUUUUGCUCUGAUUUGAGGUGAAAGAACAAAACAAGAGUUGAGAGACACGCAGAGUUAGAUCUGAAUAACGGAGUCAUAAUUUUGACUCCUCCCAGAGGGCAACGCAGUUAAGUUUCGUUUUGUCCGCCAUUACGCCGAUGGUCAUUUCAGCUGCAACCGAUCUGGAUAAAAGUCUGGAAAGUCUGCUAGGAAAAUAACAACGAUGGAGGCAACUGUUAGGGUGAAAUAUAAGGACAGAAAGAAGUACUUCUUCCUAACAUCACCUUUUCAAUUCGAAGUAUUUUUGGAAAGUGAUUCCUUCAGUUCUAGUACGAUUGGCGAUGGUGAGGCUUCCUUCAGUUCUGGUACAAUUGGCGAUGGAGAGCCUUCAUCAGGAUCUGAUGACACAGCAAUAGUGAUCAGAAAUCCCUCAGAAAAAAGACAUGAAGAGGACCGUCGUCUGGGUCGAAUGAUUGAGGACAUCCUCAAGAGUAGCCCUGGAGUAAGGAAGCUGUGUACUCUGUCCGCAUCUGGUCAGAUGUCAGAGGACGUGACCUAGUGAAGAUACUAGUUGCACAUCUGACAAAUGAGCAUGGCACAAGCCCCCCUAGGAGAUUGAAGGAGGAAUACGCCAAAGGAAUCAUCUGCCUUUUUCCUUACUUGGCUGACCCCCGGAGCAAGCUUGGCUAUGAACAUUUUUAUAAUGCUGAAGAUGGAAGUGGGUAUUUGGCUUGGAGAAUCAAAACUCUGCAGAAAGAGGUGUCCGAGGGGCGAAUGAAACGGUCACGACAACUUCAAACAGGCCAGUGAUUAAUUUGGAACUUGACCACUCGUUUAUUUGGUCUAGGUUUUCUUUUGAGUAUUAAACUGGCAUGUUGUCCCAAACCUUUAGGUGAGCCAACUUCACACAGGGAUCCAUUGAAAGAAGACAUCCAAUGGGACGAACAGCAGUGUCAAGAAGCAAUUGCCCUGAUGAAGCAUUCUACGGAUGAAGUUGUAGUGAAGGAGAAAAUGAGGCUAACCCUGGCCUAUCGUCAGAAGUUGCUGCACGAUCCUGAGAACUCAGCCGACAUCCUAUCUGUUUUUCCUCGUUUCUUGGACAUUCCAGGUUUGGUGAGUAAUACUGUUUUUUUUAAAAAACAAGAACUACAAAGUAAUGUUUUGUGUAGUUUGUUAUUGUUUGUUUUGUCAGACAGAAUGUAAAUUUAUCUUUGUUUACUUUGACAUGUUUUGAUUGCUAUCUGCCGAACCUGAUCAGACUUCAGAAAUGAUCUCUGUAGCUACUUUGACCAUCUACUGUGGGACUUGCCAUGUCUUGUAGAUUGUUCAAGAUUUCAGGAGUCUUUUUGGUGACGCAACCUCUGCAAAGAUGUUGGAAAAGUGGACCACCAACUUUCAAGCAAAGGUUGUAACUCAGUGUCGUGGGCUUACACUGACUGGAGAUGUACAAGACCUCAUCCAAAAUGCUGAAGCCACUGAAGUAGAUGAUGGCUGGGACAGUGACAUGUCAUCAAUGCUGUUGCUGGUUCACCUUCUGCCACCUUCAAGCCAAGGCGGAAAAAAAACCAGGGAAAAUCUCAGCCAGACAAGCAUGCGACAGUCUUGUAAAAUUCAUCAAGGUGAGCUUUGUGUGGAACAAAAAGGGUUGGAAAAUACUUCCUCUUUUAUGGGGGAUUAUCACGCUGAUACGUAGUACUUCCGCAUUCGGUGUUCAUUGUGCACUGUGACAUCCCGUGAAUCACUCAUCACUCUGGCGAACUGAUGAUGGAGGACCGGCAGUUCACUUUCACGACAUCCCUGGUAAAUGUACCCAAAGUCACGUUUUCUGAAGUUCACAGACUUACCGAACAACACUCCAUAACAGCCCGCUCCAAACUGGACAAGGGAUUGUUUAUUUUUCGAGAAAUAUAUCGACUACGAAUGUGAGUGUCUGCUAGCUAGCUUACGCUACGUAGGUUGGCUUAUGCUAACGUCAGUUUGGCGUCAGCUCAGUCUGGAGGGAUGAAAUGAUGAGAUGAAAAAUAAGGUAGACUUCUUUGGUACAUAUAUGAAUGUGUAUCUUCAGCAGAAAGUGAAAUGAAUGUGAAAUGAACUGAAUGAAUAAAGGAACUGAAAGAAUAAAAGGAUUUAAUUCAUUCCCUUUUUCUGAGUACAUCAUUUACUACAUUAUAUAUUAACAUUAUUUUGAAUACUUUCAGGAUGGACUGACUGGACUUUAAAAUUGAUUAUAGAUGAAAGACUUCUCAUUCAAUUAAAUACAUGUCAUUCAAUAUGUUUUCAGUGUGCAAAAUUACA
ensembl:lncRNA